AUUGAACGCUGGCGGCGGGCCUAACACAUGCAAGUCGAACGAGUGGCGGACGGGUGAGUAAUGUCUGGGAAACUGCCUGAUGGAGGGGGAUAACUACUGGAAACGGUAGCUAAUACCGCAUACCAUCAGAUGUGCCCAGAUGGGAUUAGCUAGUUGGUGGGGUAACGGCUCACCAAGGCGAAGAUCCCUAGCUGGUCUGCGAGGAUGACCAGCCACACUGGAACUGAGAAACGGUCCAGACUCCUACGGGAGGCAGCAGUGGGGAAUAGUGCACAAUGGGCGCAAGCCUGAUGCAGCCAUGCCGCGUGGAUGAAGAAGGCCUUCGGGUUGUAAAGUACUGUUAGCGGGGAGGCGGUAUCCGAAGAAGAAGCACCGGCUAACUCCGUGCCAGCAGCCGCGGUAAUAC
rnacentral:rRNA from 1 species